rnacentral:rRNA from 1 species
AUUGAACGCUGGCGGCAGGCCUAACACAUGCAAGUCGAACGAGUGGCGGAAGGGUGAGUAAUGUCUGGGCAACUGCCCGAUGGAGGGGGAUAACUACUGGAAACGGUAGCUAAUACCGCAUACCAUCGGAUGUGCCCAGAUGGGAUUAGCUGGGAGGUGGGGUAACGGCUCACCUAGGCGACGAUCCCUAGCUGGUCGGAGAGGAUGCCCAGCCACACUGGAACGGGACAACGGACCUGGGGCCUACGGGAGGGAGCAGUGGGGAAUAUUGCGCAAUGGGCGGAAGCCUGAUGCAGCCAUGGCGCGUGUAUUGAGAAGGCCUUCGGGUUGUAAAGUACUUUCAGCGAGGAGGCGUUACUCGCAGAAGAAGCACCGGCUAACUCCGUGCCAGCAGCCGCGGUAAUUC